GACGAACGCUGGCGGCGUGCUUAACACAUGCAAGUCGAGCGAGGCCCGUCCUUCGGGACGGUGCCCUAGCGGCGAACGGGUGAGUAACACGUGGGCAACCUGCCCCUAGCACUGGGAUAACCCCGGGAAACCGGGGCUAAUACCGGAUAUGACCUUUGAGGGCAUCCUCUUUGGUGUAAAGGAUUCUGGCUAGGGAUGGGCCCGCGGCCUAUCAGCUUGUUGGUGGGGUAAUGGCCUACCAAGGCGACGACGGGUAGCCGGCCUGAGAGGGCGACCG
rnacentral:rRNA from 1 species